rnacentral:lncRNA from 13 species
GUUAAAACCCUUGACAAAUUUUGCUAAAGAGUAGAUUAGCAUUUUAAGAAAAUCUUGUGGUACUUUUAUUUUACUGUUCAAUUUACAGAAAAAAAACAUAAUACCCUUUUGAGUUUAGUUAAUAUGUUUACACACAGAGUUGUCUUUGCAGGAUUAACUUUUACAACAUUUUUACAAUUUACUUAAACUGUUCACUUUAUUUAAUUUUAUGGCUUUUUUAUUCAUAAGCAAAAUGUAUAUUUUUAUGCCUUCUUAUAAUUUUUAACUAAAAACAUUUUUUAUUGUUUUUAUACAUUUUGCAUACAAAUCCAUGUUCGGUAGUUUUAAUUACAUGUUAUAAUUGUAACUUUUAGCAAUUUUCUUUCUUUUUCUUUGAGAUGAUAUUUUAAAAAACUGAAACUCUUUUUGCCCAGGCUGGAGUACAGUGACACAAUUUCGGCCCACUGCCACCUCUCCUUCCUGGGUUCAAGUGAUUCUCCUGCCUCAGCCUCCCAAGUAGCUGAGAUUACAGGGCCACCUGCAUUCCUUGGUUUAUGACCCCUUCCUCCAUCCUCAAAACCAGCAACAGCAGAUCCUUUAUCUCACAUCCCCUGCUCCUUCUUCCAUCCUCGGAUUCCUCUCUCUCAGCCAGAAACCUUCGCUUCUGUUAGGACUCAAGAGGAUUAAACUCACCUGGAUAGUACAGGAAACUCUGCAUAUCUCAAAGUCUGCCCCCUUCAACACAUUUGCCAUAUAAGGUAACAUAUUUACAGCUUCUGGGGAUAGGUGUGAACAUCUUUAGGGAGCUGUUAUUCAGCUGACUAUGGAGAGUAAAGGGGUAGGAGAGGUGUAGGGGAAGCACUCAGAGUCCCUGGUGUUCGGAAUCCAGUCCAGCCUGGUACGAGGUGAGAAAUCAGUCCAAGACACUAAAUUCACUCUUUCCCUUUACUGAUCAUAAGAUGAUAGUACAAUUAAGCAUGGGUUGGAGAACUAAAAGGACUCUUCAU